AAAUUGAAGAGUUUGAUCAUGGCUCAGAUUGAACGCUGGCGGCAGGCCUAACACAUGCAAGUCGAGCGGAAACGAGUUAUCUGAACCUUCGGGGAACGAUAGCGGCGUCGAGCGGCGGACGGGUGAGUA
rnacentral:rRNA from 1 species